rnacentral:rRNA from 1 species
AUGGAGUUGAGUUUGUCUCGUACGCUUCACCUUUUUAAUAUCUUUCGUGAGUAUGAUGGAAAGGAUAAUUGUGCUCAAGUGCUAGAAGAAGAAAUCUAUAGAAUGUUUGGAACUAAAUAUGUGAAUGAUGAGCAUGAUUGCAAUGUUGUUAGUAUGAAUUCCUUGAAUAUCCAUGAUGCUAAUGAUAUGCAAAGCCACAAGCUUGGGGAAGCUAUGUUUGAUGAAGAUGAUAUUUUUUGUCCCCCAAGCUUUGAUGAGCAAAUUUACUAUGAUGAAAGCACGCCUCCUAUCUAUGAUGAUUAUUGUGAUGACACGUAUGCUUUAAAGAAUAAUGAUAACCAUGAAACAUGUCAUCUUGAUCUUAAUUUUCAAUCACAUGAUAGUUAUUUUGUUGAGUUUGCUCCCACUACUAUUCAUGAGAAGAAUUUUGCUUAUGAGGAGAGUAGUAAAUUUUCUAUGCUAGUAGAUCAUGAAAAGAAUGCUUUAGGUGCUGGUUAUAUUGUUUAA